UACGAAGGGGGCUAGCGUUGCUCGGAAUCACUGGGCGUAAAGCGCACGUAGGCGGACUCUUAAGUCAGGGGUGAAAUCCUGGAGCUCAACUCCAGAACUGCCUUUGAUACUGGGAGUCUCGAGUUCGGGAGAGGUGAGUGGAACUGCGAGUGUAGAGGUGAAAUUCGUAGAUAUUGGGAAGAACACCGGUGGCGAAGGCGGCUCACUGGCCCGGUACUGACGCUGAGGUGCGAAAGCGGUGGGGAGCAAACAGG
rnacentral:rRNA from 1 species